AAUUCUCAAUCCCUUUCCUUUCAAGAAAGGCUUUGGAUUUGGAGUGUUGCUGGCUUAUUUUGUCAGCUCCUCUUAAAUGCAUUAGCUUGAUACCCUUUGUGGAUAGGCUUUGGUUUGAUAAUAUCUAUGCCAUUGCCGUGAAACAAAUGUCAGCUUCUAACAGACAACUCUUUGAUA
rnacentral:misc_RNA from 1 species